rnacentral:rRNA from 1 species
UACAGAGGGGGCAAGCGUUGUUCGGAAUUACUGGGCGUAAAGGGCGCGUAGGCGGCCUGCUAAGUCGAACGUGAAAUCCCCGGGCUCAACCCGGGAACUGCGUCCGAUACUGGUUGGCUUGAAUCCGGGAGAGGGAUGCGGAAUUGCAGGUGUAGCGGUGAAAUGCGUAGAUAUCUGCAGGAACACCCGUGGCGAAAGCGGCGCGCUGGACCGCUACUGACGCUGAGGAACGAAAGCUAGGGGAGCAAACAGG